rnacentral:misc_RNA from 1 species
AAAUGCGAUAAGUAGUGUGAAUUGCAGAAUUCAGUGAAUCAUCGAAUCUUUGAACGCACAUUGCGCCCCUUGGUAUUCCAUGGGGCAUGCCUGUUCGAGCGUCAUUUGUACCCUCAAGCUCUGCUUGGUGUUGGGUGUUUGUCCCGUCUCCGCGCGUGGACUCGCCCCAAAGUGAUUGGCAGCCGGCGUACUGGUCCCGGAGCGCAGCACAUGUCGCGCAAACGAGUGCCUUGGUACGGCGGCGUCCAUAAGCCCCUCUCUCACGCUCUUGACCUCGGAUCAGGUAGGGAUACCCGCUAAACUUAAGC